UUCUUUUCCCAUCCAAGGUGACCAAGAGCGGUUUGAUUUCUUCAGGAAAGCUGCUCAUUUUAGUAUUGCCCUUUAGAGAGUAUGGAGGUGCGGCCGCUUGUCAUGGGGCUAGGCACGUAAGGUGGAAUUCCCCAGGUUCAUCCACCCAUGGGUAUUCUGCUGUUUCAGCUCCUGUGACUGAGAGACUGAUUUAUCUUCCUUGGGAGAGGAACUGCCCAUGGUUCAAUGAAGGCAAGCCCAGAGAAGAGACUACAUAUUGGCUUCCAGAGGAGAAAGACGAUCACGAAAAGAUUUUGACUGUUUUACAGGACCUGUAUGGGUGUACUAAGUCGUGCCUUUCUGCAGGUGGAGUUCUUUUCAAGACGACAGCAAAUUUUAUUGUUCUGUAUUUUGGGGAUGAAAUUCGAUCUCGCUUGGAGACGCCAAUCACACUGUGGUGACUGGUGAUGGCAGGAGUAGACAAAAUGUAGUCCACAAAGCUACACUUUGGGCUGAGGGUUGUUGUUGUUACCUGUGUGGGGAGGGACAAAGAAGCACUCACGAAGAAAAGCUGAGCAGGGGGAGAAGAGACAACCGGAAGAGUUUUGUUGGGCUGAGGCAGAAUAAGGGUUCUGUUCACCUGACCUGUAAAUUGUGGAUUUCUUACUAAAAGCAAGGUUUAUUUAUUUAUUUUUUUAAUAAUAACUUGAUGCACUUGAUUUCAAAUAAAGAUUGUUUUAAAAGCUAAUGUUGCUCAUAAAUUCU